rnacentral:rRNA from 1 species
UACGUAGGGUGCAGGCGUUGUCCGGAAUUAUUGGGCGUAAAGAGCUCGUAGGCGGUUUGUCACGUCUGCUGUGAAAACUGGAGGCUCAACCUCCAGCUUGCAGUGGGUACGGGCAGACUAGAGUGCGGUAGGGGAGAUUGGAAUUCCUGGUGUAGCGGUGGAAUGCGCAGAUAUCAGGAGGAACACCGAUGGCGAAGGCAGAUCUCUGGGCCGUAACUGACGCUGAGGAGCGAAAAGCGUGGGGAGCGAACAGG